rnacentral:rRNA from 1 species
CAGCCGCCGCGGUAACACCAGCCCCUCGAGUGGUGGGGACUAUUAUUUGGCCUAAAGCGUCCGUAGCCGGCUGCAGCCGUCACCCGUUAAAUCCAGCGUCUCAAGCGUUGGAUUGCGGGUGAUACCCUGCAGCUUGAGGGUGGGACAGGUUAGCGGUAUUCCCGGGGUAGGGGCGAAAUCCUUUGACCCCGGGAGGACCACCAGUGGUGAAGGCUGCUGACUAGAACACGCCUGACGGUCAGGGACGAAAGCUGGGGUAGCGAACCGGAUUAGAUACCCGGGUAGUCCCAGCUGUAAACGAUGCACGCUGGGUGUUGGGUCGGCCACGCGCCGCCCCAGUGCCGCAGGGAAGCCGUUAAGCGUGCCGCCUGGGGAGUACGGCCGCAAGGCUGAAACUUAAAGGAAUUGGCGGGGGAGCAC